GACGAACGCUGGCGGCGUGCUUAACACAUGCAAGUCGAACGGAGAGGCCCUUCGGGGUACUCGAGUGGCGAACGGGUGAGUAACACGUGGGUGAUCUGCCCUGCACUUUGGGAUAAGCCUGGGAAACUGGGUCUAAUACCGAAUAUGAUCAUCGGCUUCAUGGUCGGUGGUGGAAAGCUUUUGCGGUGUGGGAUGGGCCCGCGGCCUAUCAGCUUGUUGGUGGGGUAAUGGCCUACCAAGGCGACGACGGGUAGCCGGCCUGAGAGGGUGACCGGCCACACUGGGACUGAGAUACGGCCCAGACUCCUACGGGAGGCAGCAGUGGGGAAUAUUGCACAAUGGGCGCAAGCCUGAUGCAGCGACGCCGCGUGAGGGAUGACGGCCUUCGGGUUGUAAACCUCUUUCAGCACAGACGAAGCGCAAGUGACGGUAUGUGCAGAAGAAGGACCGGCCAACUACGUG
rnacentral:rRNA from 1 species